GAUGACAGCAGGCCUCUCAGCUGGCGAGAGAACAGACAAGAGAGGACACUGCCCCACAUCGAUGUGCUCAGGAGCCACAUUGACAGGAGAAGACACUGAGGAAGCAUGCCCAAGGGAAAACUAAAAAUGACACAGUCCAGGGCGUCAACCCAGUGGACUGGGGUUCGACUCUUUCCUCCGUCUGUUCUUCUGCCGGGAGCUUUAGCCCCAUGGAGUCCUCUGUUUUUAAGAUCUCACAGCUGCAGGCAGCAGCAGCUCCUCACUUGUCCUGACGCCUGAGCUCUCCGGUGUGUGAAGGAUUUCCUUCUUCCCUGCAUGCCCAGAAGACAGCUUCAAGCUUCCAGAGCCAGCCACACGGGCAGAAGAAGGAAUCAACCCGUCCAAUGGAUGCGGUUUACAGAUCUGUCCAGCAGCAGAACAGAGCCCGAAUGGCCUCCUCGGUUUCAAAUCCAGCUGUGCUGGUGGCUUAGAUCCUCACCUGUGUAAUAAGCUCACCAGUGUACCUAUCCCUGGGCAUCCGUGGUGACCUCUACCAAGUCCUCCCACAUAGGAUUUACCCUGAAAUAGCUUUUGGCUCCUAUGUUAUCCCAGAGGAGAAAUAGUCUGAUCCUAACACCUGAAAUAGGAAUUCCUCUGAGAAAGCCAGGGGUAUUCCACGCCCCCUGCCCCGCCCCCAU